UACGAAGGGGCUAGCGUUGUUCGGAAUUACUGGGCGUAAAGCGCACGUAGGCGGAUAUUUAAGUCAGGGGUGAAUCCCGGGGCUCAACCCCGGAACUGCCUUUGAUACUGGGUAUCUGGAGUAUGGAAGAGGUGAGUGGAAUUCCGAGUGAGAGGUGAAAUUCGUAGAUAUUCGGAAGGAACACCAGUGGCGAAGGCGGCUCACUGGUCCAUUCUGACGCU
rnacentral:rRNA from 1 species